AUGAAUCACAAGACCUUAAAGAAAACUAACAAAUGUGACCCAUAGCUUAUCAGUUAAAUGGCUGUGUUUGAGGUAUCUGGACAUCAAGUGAAGAUGUCCAGUGGGCAGUUCUGGAGGCUGAUAAGUUGAAGAUCAGACCGAUGGCAGCUUUGGUGUCUGGUAAGGGCCCAGGCUCUGCUACCAAGAUGGCACCUUCGAUGCUAUAUCCUGUAGAAGUGAUAAACUCUGUGUCUUCACAUGGCAGAAAGGAUGGAAAAGGCCAAAAAUGGCCUGGGUUGUUUCCACCGGCAUUUUUUUUUUUUUUUUUUUGAGACAGAGUCUCGCUCUGUUGCCCAGGCUGAAGUGCAACGGCACGAUCUCUGCUCACUGAAAGCUCCACCUCGCGGAUUCCAGCGAAUCUCUUCAGUCUCCCAAGUAGCUGGAAUUACUGGCGCCCCCCCCACCAUGCCCAGCUAAUUUUUGUAUUUUUAGUAGAGACGGGGUUUCACCAUGUUGGCCAGGCUGGUCUCGAACUCCUGACUUCAGGUGAUCCGCCUGCCUUGGCCUCCCAACAUGCUGGAUUACAGGAAUAAGCCACCGCACCUGUCCACCACCAGCCCUUUUAAAGCAUCACUAAUCAUAUUUACAAGUGCAGAAGUCCUCAUGACUUAAUCGAUCUCCUAAAGGCCUCAACUUUGAAUACUAUAACACAGGUUUUACAGUUUCUCUCCCAACCACCAGGCAUCCCUCUUCACCCACUAAAUCAAAGCAAUUGGUUGCUUCAGGAUAAGGGUGACAUAGCCAAGAACGAAGAUGACAACUGCGUUUCUGAAUGGAAUUUUAAAAUCAA
rnacentral:lncRNA from 10 species